GAAGUUUUGAGGGCAUAUGAGGAACAGGACAAGAACAACAUCACUGCAGCUCGAACAGCAGCCCUUGGCUGGCCUACCGCUGUACUUAAAGGAGGAUUCAUCAGAGGUCUUCAAAACCUGCAAGGAUGAGUUGGAGUCAAUCCAGGAUGGAGCAGUGGCUCUGGUGGCAGUGGUGAAUGAAGAGGAUGUGCCUGCUGGAGUUCCCUUUGAAAGUCACUACGUGUCAAUUGUCCUUGAGGAUCAG